AGCCCAAGAAGCUAGAGGUGGAGAAUCAAGCAAAGGCAAAGGAAAGAUAAUCGAGUAGUCGAUUGGAAAUCGUUUCAUCCAAUAUAAGGUCACUGGGACUCGUACUGUUGUGUGCUCGGAACCGUCGUUGAAGUCAUCACACCGGCUGAAAUCUUGUGGUAUUGUUUUUUUGUUGUUGAAGAACAUUUGGCAUGUAUAGGCUAUUAUAUUUUGUCGAAUUGUGGGUUGUAAACUUUAAGCCAUGUGAAAAUGGCCUAUGUGGUCGUCGAGUGGGAUGCUAGAACCUAUAGCCACGAGUCUUAGAAACUCAAAUUUUGUUAAGGUGGCCAUAAUUUGUGUCAUGUAUGAUGGAUGAUUAAGGCCAAGGAAAAAUUCAUGAAAUUGGCAUAGUCUACUGCAGUAACUGUUGCGGACAGCAGCAGUGAGAUGAGAUUGAAAAAUCACUAAAAA